AUGGCUCCUCCCCCCUCCUCCCCCUCCCCCUCCUCUUUCCUCAUCCUCUCUCUCCCUACCCAGACCUUAGUUUCCUCACUUGAAAAUGAGGGCAUUAGGCAUCAAUCACCCUUGCACAAGGUCGGGCGGAUCCCCCAGGGAGAGAGCAGAGGGGGGAAGGGCGGGGCCUGCCCCUUCUGUUCGCCUGUGCCCCCCACCCCACAGCCGACCAGGGCCGAGCCACACACCCGGGGGCCAGGAGAAAGGAGGCGAUCGCCUUCCCCUCCCCCGCGCCGCGGGAAGCAUACAGCUCUGGGCAGCUUCGGCAGGCGGCGCUAUUGCACGCCCCUUUGUAGGCAGCACCGCCACGCCCCGCAACUCCCCGCCCCGCGAGGUAUUGUGGGCGUCCUCCACUCAUCUCGCCCCCUCCCGAUUCAGCCCACGGCCGAAGAAUCUUUAUCCGAAAAACCGCGCGAGGACCGGGUCUUCCGGGGGGCCAAGGCGCAUGGGCGAGAUCCGCCCUCUCUUUCUCAGGUCACGUGCAGAGGUUUCCUUCGGCGCGCUCGGUCCUCUGGCUGUGACGUCACCGUGUUGCAUUGUGGAGGUUGUCGUUUUCCUUUGGACUGGCCCCGGGCAGUGAAGGAGGGGCGAGAACUCGGCUUCCCAGAAAGCCUUGCGGGCGGGGGGCGGGGCUGUCCCAUCCUCGAGGCCCAAGAUGGUGGCUGCCAUUCCGGGGAGGUUUACUUUCCCCAAAGCAGGUCUCAGAGUUCCGGCCCAGCCCAGCACAGUCCUACCUCGGUUUCCCCUUCUGUAAGAGGUGGGGCUGGGAGCAGUGACCCCCCCCAGCCCACGGCCAGCGUGGGGGGCCCUCGUGACCCGAGCCUCAGUUUCCCCCACUGUGACCGACCCUGGUCUGGGUGUCAGUUUUUCACCUGUUUCCCCAUCUGCACAGGCGCUGCUCGCUCUUCCCCCAACUACAGCCGGCAGAGGCCGGGACCAGCACGAGGCCCCCAGGCCUCGCACAGCGGCCCUGCGGAAACUGAGGCCGGCACCCCGGGUGGCCGGCGAUGGCAGACCGUGGGGGCGGCGACGCGUCGCUGGGCCUGCUGCCGGACUGCGAGGCCAUGCCGUCGGACACGGGCUCGCUCAGCGACUCGGACUCGGACUCGGCCGGGCUGUCCCCGGGGGAGCCGCCUUUCCUGGAGGAAGCGGCGGACUCGGAGGACGAGGAGCCCCCGCAGCCCCCCGGGAGCCCCGUGCGGCCCUUCCACCUGCGGGGCAUGA
rnacentral:lncRNA from 1 species